rnacentral:lncRNA from 1 species
AUAAAGUCAAUUUUUAACUAUCCACUUAUGUUUAACUUACGUUGACUUAAUUUUUUGUACCAGCGAGUUAUUUUAAAACCGUCGACUUAUGUUUUGGCUCGUUGAUUUAUAACAUAGUCGAUUUUUCUAACUGCUGACUUAAUUUUUUUGUUCAUUGAUUUAUAGUUUAUUUCGGUUGACUUGUUUAUUCAUGGUAGAUUUACUUUAUUUUACGUUGACUUA